rnacentral:rRNA from 1 species
AUUGAACGCUGGCGGCAUGCCUUACACAUGCAAGUCGAACGGCAGCACGGGUGCUUGCACCUGGUGGCGAGCGGCGAACGGGUGAGUAAUACAUCGGAACAUGUCCUGUAGUGGGGGAUAGCCCGGCGAAAGCCGGAUUAAUACCGCAUACGAUCUACGGAUGAAAGCGGGGGACCCUCGGGCCUCGCGCUAUAGGGUUGGCCGAUGGCUGAUUAGCUAGUUGGUGGGGUAAAGGCCUACCAAGGCGACGAUCAGUAGCUGGUCUGAGAGGACGACCAGCCACACUGGGACUGAGACACGGCCCAGACUCCUACGGGAGGCAGCAGUGGGGAAUUUUGGACAAUGGGCGAAAGCCUGAUCCAGCAAUGCCGCGUGUGUGAAGAAGGCCUUCGGGUUGUAAAGCACUUUUGUCCGGAAAGAAAUCCUUGGCCCUAAUACGGUCGGGGGAUGACGGUACCGGAAGAAUAAGCACCGGCUAACUACGUG